UGUCCUGGUCACGCUGAUU
rnacentral:snRNA from 1 species